rnacentral:rRNA from 1 species
CGAGGAAUAUUGGUCAAUGGGCGGAAGCCUGAACCAGCCAUCCCGCGUGAAGGAAGAAGGCCUUAUGGGUUGUAAACUUCUUUUCUGUUUGAAGAAUAAGCUUGUCGAGACAUGUGAUGCCGGUAGGACAGGAAUAAGCAUCGGCUAACUCCGUGCCAGCAGCCGCGGUAAUACGGAGGAUGCAAGCGUUAUCCGGAUUUAUUGGGUUUAAAGGGUGCGCAGGUGGUUUAAUAAGUCAGUGGUGAAAGUCUGCCGCUUAACGGUAGGAUUGCCAUUGAUACUGUUGGACUUGAAUAUGGAUGAGGUAGGCGGAAUGUGUAGUGUAGCGGUGAAAUGCUUAGAUAUUACACAGAACACCGAUUGCGAAGGCAGCUUACUAAUCCAUGAUUGACGCUGAGGCACGAAAGCGUGGGGAUCAAACAG